ensembl:lncRNA
AUCUCUUCAUCAUUAGCAAACAAUUUAAACACAUGAACAAAUCUGACAUUGGCUUUUCUCUUGUAGACCGGUGAGAGCUGGGAAUGACACAGGGGUAGAUGCCGUCUGCACCUACAGGCGCGACUCCACUGCUCCCCCGUUUGACAGAGUGGGUGUUUACCAUGAAAUCCGCAACAAGACAAAUGGCAUCACCAAGCUCGGCCCCUACACCCUGGACAAGGACAGCCUCUACGUCAAUGGUUAUAACGAAGCACCAGCUCUGCCAACUGUUUUGCCAAUCUCAACCCCCGCUCCAGCAAUUGAACAUUUCACUGUGA